GGCAACCCGCUUGGGUCCCCUUCCACGCUGUGCAAGCUUUGUUCUUUUGCUUUUUGCAAUAAAUCUUGCUACUGCUCACUCUUUGGGUUCACGCUGCUUUUAUGAGCUGUAACACUCACCGCGAAGGUCUGCAGCUUCACUCCUGAAGCCAGUGAGACCACGAGCCCACCGGAAAGAACGAACAACUCCAGACGCGCCACCUUAAGAGCUGUAACCCUCACCGCGAAGGUCCGCGGCUUCAUUCCUGAGCCAGCGAGACCACGAACCUACCAGAAGGAAGAAACUCGCAGCCUUAAGAGCUGUAACACUCACUGCAAAGGUCUGCAGCUUCACUCCUGAGCCAGCGAGACCACGAACCCACCAGAAGGAAGAAACUCCGAACACAUCCGAACAUCAGAAGGAACAAACUCCAGACGCGCCACCUUAAGAGCUGUAACACUCACCGCGAGGGUCCGCGGCUUCAUUCUUGAAGUCAGUGAGACCAAGAACCCACCAAUUCUGGACACGCUACCUUGAUCCAGAUGAAGGUACCCCAAGCAGCUUGAGAUGUGAUGAUGGAGACCAGUUUGAGAAGACCCAUCAUCUCUGAUUUCCCUCUGAUUAUGAAGUAAUACAACAAAGCUACAGCAAAAAGAUUGGCCUUUCAUUUCAGCCUGGGCUUGAAAUAUCAAACACAUUGCCAUAUCAAACACAUUUCUGUGCCAGG